ensembl:rRNA 5S_rRNA 5S ribosomal RNA
AGUAAUGGCCAUACGACGCUGAACACACCCCAUCUCAAUGGUCUCAGCAGCUGAACAGGGUCAGGUCUGGUUAGGACUUGGAUGGGAGACAGAUCUUCAGAGAAGACUGCUC